UAAAAUAAAAAAUAAAAAGAAAAUCCCAAUUAAUAGGAAUUUUCUAGGCUUUUUCUAUUCUAUAAUAAUCGUUCUAUGCUUAUAGUGGUUUUUAAUUAGUUUGCUUAAGACAAAAUCCACAUGAAAACUGUUGACCAGAUAGUAAGUGCUAGGGCUGCAACCAAGUAUGUCCACAGGAAGAGGACUGAACACUCUUCUUGACCCACAUUAAAGAGCUGGGUCAUAGUACCAAUGUUCAUGGCAGGUGGCAGGGUAUAUUGAAUCAUCAGCACAUAGUGGUAGAGAGGGUCCGAUGGAAGAAAGCCAAGUCUCCCAGCUGCUUUAACAACCCAAAUGCCAAUUGCAGGAAGUAUCCCAUAACGAACAAAAAUCGUAACAACUAUGAUCCAGGGCUUGAUUCUUGAUGAUUUUAAACCUUGAAUGAGGUUGCCUCCAAGUAUAAGUGUGAUACAAGGAAUUGUUCCUUCCCCAAGUAAUGUGACGGCGUCUUGGAGCACAUGCAAGGGAGCACUGUCACCAAUUAUUAGCUUUCUCAGGAAUGCUACUGCUCCGAAGAUGAAUCCGAAAAUUGCAGCAAUUGUUGGGGGUGCCAAGAGCUCCUCCACAAUCUGAUGAAGAAAUCCUACCAAUUUGCUCCAGAAUGAUGCCUCUUUUUCAUGUUCAUGGAGUGAUGCUAGGGAAACAAUAGCUUGGCUUUCUGUAUCAUCACCAAUGGACUUGGUUGAUGCCACAGUUAUUGCAACAUGCUCUUGAACUUCUUCCUUGAGAAGGUGAGUUUCCUGACUAGCCUCCAAAUCGUUGUUGGGUGCUUUUGAAACCUCAUCAGCUGCUUUGAUUGCUUCCAAUUUCACAGCUGAAGACCGUAUCAGAUGGUAAGUGUAAGUCCAGAUGUACAAACCACCAAGCGCCAUAGAGAAAGAUGCAUAUGAGAGUCCAAGAGAGCUGCAAGUGGCACUAUCAAAUGGACUUCCAUCCUCAUUACAGAUUGCAGGUACAACUAUCAGGAGAAGAUUUCCCAAGUUUCCUGUUGAACACGUAGCAAUAACAAGCCCUUCAAGAUGAGGCUGGGGUUUCAGAAUCUUAACCACUAUCCACCCAAGAAUCCCUCCAAUCAAGAAGGUGAUUCCAAUAUUAACAGGCAUAAACCACCUGAAACAAAAUGAUCAACCAUAAGAUUAUGUUUAAAUAAACUUUCUAGCUUAAUGGAAUGCAUCAAUUUAUUAGUGCAUAAAGUUCAAUAGUUUAUUGUGAUUAUUAUUUCCAUAUAAAGUUUUCUAACAUUCCCAUGUAUUGCAAGAAAUCGAAUAUUUAUUUUAGCCUACCAUGAGAUGAUGUCCUGGAGUGUCACAGUUUUUGCCAGACAAGCAAACAUAAGAGAAGGUGUAAACACCAUGAACACAAUCUGCGUUGGCAAAAACGAAAUCUGACAUUUGAGGAAAAGAAACAGAAAAGGGCAACAGAAUUUAUUAGAAGCAGGUUCAUUUGAGAUAAUGAUUACCUUGUUUAAGGAUCUUCUAGCAUCCGUAGUAAGAAGAUUACAGUAAUUAGUUGCCAUGAGAGCUCCCAAAAUACUGAUUAGUAGAACUUGUAAAAUUGGCAUAGAUGCCACCUCAAACAAUGUCCAGAAACCCAUCUCGUCUGUUUUUUUUUUGUAACUCUUUUUCAGAAAUGUAUAUUCUUCCCUGCUUUGAUUUGCUUUGUUUGUUGCUAUCUCCUUAUCUUUUUUCUUUUUCUGCGCCUGUUUUUUCUACUUGAACCCUUACAAUGUGCGCUAAUGUCUUCAGUGGAACAGAAGGAAAAUCCUGGGAAGGAGCACUGCAGGAAUAAAAUCGACUGGCAAUGAGAGAUCAAAAGCGAGUCAUGGGUGAGAAAGACUCGGAGAAGAAGAGAGAGAUUAGCGAAGAUUCCGUAACUAUAUGUACAUGUAUGCAAUGAAAUAGAAGCAAGCAAUUAAAAGGUCCUCGUUCCUACCAUUUAUAUUAUCUCCUCAUGACCUAUUUAUAAUUAUAUACCCAAAUAACUAAAAGC
rnacentral:misc_RNA from 1 species